GGGAUAUUGCCCAAUGGGGGGAACCCUGAUGCAGCGACGCCGCGUGGGUGAAGAAGCGCCUCGGCGCGUAAAGCCCUGUCAGCAUGGAAGAAAAUUACGGUACCUGAAGAAGAAGCCCCGGCUAACUACGUUCCAGCAGCCUCGGUAAUACGUAUGGUGCAAGCGUUAUCCGGAUUUACUGGGUGUAAAGGGAGCGUAGGCGGUCUGCCAAGUCUGAUGUGAAAACCCGGGGCUCAACCCCGGGAGUGCAUUGGAAACUGGCGGACUGGAGUGUCGGAGAGGUAAGCGGAAUUCCUAGUGUAGCGGUGAAAUGCGUAGAUAUUAGGAGGAACACCAGUGGCGAAGGCGGCUUACUGGACGAUAACUGACGCUGAGGCUCGAAAGCGUGGGGAGCAAAC
rnacentral:rRNA from 1 species